CAAUAAUAAACUCAAACUUGGACUCAAACUCAGACUUUGACUCAGGCUUAGACUUACUAAAGACAGACUCAGGAUUCGUAUUCACGAACGCAUUUGGAAAUAGACUUCAAUAAGAUUGUGUUUUUUUAAUGACGUCACGACUAAGCGAACUCUCUAGUAGGGAAAACGCGCCAAAUAGUGUCAAAAAUAGUAGCGGACAUGUUUGCUAUAACUUAUUGAAUGGAGUGUUUGGCAGUUGAAGACAGCGAAACGAAGCGCCAGCAGGUUCAGAUUGGUCCGAGCCAGAGAUUGUUUUUAAUGCGCUGGUUCGGGACCGCUGGAACCUUCUAUCCGCGAGUAUAAGGGGAUCGGAGCCGAAAAGAUUUUGGUUAUUCGAAGAAAAAAAUGGGACGAGGUGGCGAGUAGAAUAUCAAUGUAAGUUAUAUGUUAUUAUCGUAUCUGCCUUAUAGUUGUAAUAUUUUAUUUAAUAGCUUACUUUUGGAUUUGCUACCGAUGUCGUUUUUACUAGCGCCGAAUAAUGCACUAUGUAAACAAGGGGCAUAACCACUCAGCAAAUUGUACUUACGGAUUUCGGAUGUGAUUGUGGAAUGUGUUUUAGUUUCAAACAUUUGUUAUGAUUUAUGAAAAUUUGGGGUCGCAAAAACUGGUGAACAGUGCCAGAAGGAAAACCAAAAUUCCAAGGCUCGGUAGUGUACCAGUCAUGAAAGUAGAGGCAUUAAGUGUAAAGAAUCGCUCACAAAAGAAGAACGACAAGAGAUCACAAGCCGAUACCUUAACAAAACUUACAGAGAAACCGAUGGGAAAUAACUAAGAAAAAUUAGAAUAAGAAAUAAAAAAGUUGACUGUAUAAAUUGAAAUAAUACAUUUGGAGAAAAAGAUGUGUUUAGUGUCAAUACGUGACCAAGUGCUAUAACUCUGACAUGUAAUAAACUAGUAGUAGAUUUAUUCCCCUUUUUGUAAUUAAAAGGAUCUUAUUAUUUUUUGUGCAACUACUUUAUAACUCUUUUAUUUCUAAAAUAGAUAGUCUAUAUUAGAAAUAAUAGUUAUGGGGCAGUUGCACACAAAAUAAUAAGAUUUUUUUUUAAUUCAAAAAGGGGCAUACUAUUAUUUCUAUGAUAAAAAUAUGAUUCUAUCCCUUUUUGUACUUAUAAAAUUCCAGUCAAUAUUUGUGUGCUUUAAGAAAUGUAGGUUAAAUAUUACAUUGGUCAUUGUAUUAUGUUACUGACAUAUAAAAUACAUUCUACAUUCAAAGAGGAAUAUUAGUUGAAUGUGGUGUCUUGGGACACUUCUUGAUAUUAUUUGCUUACAAGAUAUACAUCAUUGAUAAUAAUAAAAUUCUUCAUUCAAUGAACUGAAUGAAAUUCCAGAAUAAUGGUAGAUGCAGUUAUGUGAAUUUGAAAUUAGACAUCAACAAAUCCUGGCAUCAUGCUUUAGCCCUGGCCAACUGGCAGUGAACUUGAGUGAAGCUCGUUAUUCUGUAGCUGGCAUCAUACACAGCCUGUAAACAUAAAACAUGUUAUAUUACACUAACAAAAUAAGACAUAUUUUUUUAAAUUGUUUCUUAGGUAUUUGAUAAAAUGCUGAUAAAAUGUUUCUUAUUUUGCUAAUAGCAAACUGUUAAAAUUAACAUACAGUUGUUUCAUUAAAUAUUUGUGUUUAAAAUAAAGUUGUAUCAAAUAAAAAGGAUUGCAUUUAGACUUGCACAUAACUGACUGUUAAGCCAUACCUGAACGUUGAUGGUGGGAACGCCCUUUCGCCCUAUGUAGACUUCUACAUGGUUUACUGGCUUCUUGAUAUGCACAUGCGUCCAAUCGAUGCACCCCAAAGUACUUGUAAAACCUGAAAGUUGAUCAUUUAAAAUUGACCCAUUUUUUGGAAAAAUUACAAUAUUAAUAAGUAAAUAGAUAUUGAUAUAAAUGGAUUAUGAUCGGUGCAUUUAUGUGCAUUAUAUUGAAUGAAAGUUCUGCCUUAUGUCAGAAGUGAUGCAAUAUGCUGAUGUGUCUUAACUUGAUAAUCAAAUUUAAUGUCAUCGUUUUACUAUUGAUUGAAAAUGCAAUAAUAUGUGCAUUUGAGAAUAAAAUAUUAUUUCUGUU